AGCACUUUGGAAAGAGAGUUAAACAGUACGUGAAAUUGUUGAAAGGGAAACGAUUGAAGUCAGUCAUGCUCGUAGGGAUUCAGCCGGUUCUGCCGGUGUAUUUCCCUACUUGCAGGCCAGCAUCAGUUUUGACCGGUGGAAAAGGUUGGAGGGAAUGUGGCAUCCUCGGAUGUGUUAUAGCCCUCUUUCGCAUACAUCGGUUGGGACUGAGGAACGCAGCACGCCUUUAUGGUCGGUCUUCGGACACGUACGUGCUUAGGAUGCUGGCAUAAUGGCUUUAAACGACCCGUCUUGAAACACGGACC
rnacentral:rRNA from 1 species